UGGGUUGAGGGUCUCUGCAGAUGCUGACCCGAGGACGUCAUCACCUGACUAUGUUCAUGGGUUCAUCCUGACGGCUGAGAUGAGAGGACACCAAAGAGGACCAAGGAGGGGAUGACACCCAGGUCUGGGUGCAGAUGGGUUGUUCAGCCCAUCUCAUCACUCUUCCCUACGUGGGCAGAUGUGUGAGAAGUCCCGGGAGAGCCCUGAUCUUUUCUUCUGCACCCCGACAAGGAUUCCUUAUGUCCUUGGACAAGACUUCUCUUUCACACCAACCCUUCCAUCAUCUAAUGACGUUGAGCCUUCCUUCCGAUCAUAUACUUUACUCCCAUUGUGGAAUGUGAAGGAGACCGACUCGACAAACCUCAUUACACAUAGUGCCACCCAUUUGGAAUCUGUAGCGUUUGACAGAUGCUGAAAUGAAAUCUACUUGUUGCUCAGAUAAUGUCAGACAGUGCACGUUACCAGACUAAACACAUUUGUAGGAAGGGUGAAUUUAAAAUAUUUAAGAGAAAAACUGUUUCAAACACCCUCAAGCACUUCAAACCGUCACAUUGUACCCAAACAAUGGAUGCCAGGACCACACAAAUCAUCUGGAUUCACAAAAGCAGAUUUUUGAGGAUUUCUGGAGGCUGCGGAUGUUCAGCCUACUUUUUAUUUACUGCAAUAAAACGACCU